rnacentral:rRNA from 1 species
UACGUAGGGAGCAAGCGUUGUCCGGAAUCAUUGGGCGUAAAGCGCGCGUAGGUGGCCACAUAAGUCCGUUGUGAAAGUCAAAGGCUCAACCCUUUGAAAGCCGAUGGAUACUGUGUGGCUAGAGUACGGAAGAGGCGAGUGGAAUUCCUGGUGUAGCGGUGGAAUGCGCAGAUAUCAGGAGGAACACCUAUUGCGAAGGCAGCUCGCUGGGACGUAACUGACGCUGAGACGCGAAAGCGUGGGGAGCAAACAGG